rnacentral:rRNA from 1 species
CCUACGGGAGGCAGCAGUAGGGAAUCUUCCGCAAUGGACGAAAGUCUGACGGAGCAACGCCGCGUGAGUGAAGAAGGUUUUCGGAUCGUAAAACUCUGUUGUGAGGGAAGAACAAGUACCAAGUAACUACUGGUACCUUGACGGUACCUCACCAGAAAGCCACGGCUAACUACGUGCCAGCAGCCGCGGUAAUACGUAGGUGGCAAGCGUUAUCCGGAAUUAUUGGGCGUAAAGCGCGCGCAGGCGGUCCUUUAAGUCUGAUGUGAAAGCCCACGGCUCAACCGUGGAGGGUCAUUGGAAACUGGGGGACUUGAGUGCAGAAGAGGAAAGUGGAAUUCCACGUGUAGCGGUGAAAUGCGUAGAGAUGUGGAGGAACACCAGUGGCGAAGGCGACUUUCUGGUCUGUAACUGACGCUGAGGCGCGAAAGCGUGGGGAGCAAACAGGAUUAGAUACCCUGGUAGUCCACGCCGUAAACGAUGAGUGCUAAGUGUUAGGGGGUUUCCGCCCCUUAGUGCUGCAGCUAACGCAUUAAGCACUCCGCCUGGGGAGUACGGCCGCAAGGCUGAAACUCAAAGGAAUGACGGAAUCGUCGACUGCAGCUACCUUC